rnacentral:rRNA from 1 species
GAUGAACGCUGGCGGCGUGCCUAAUACAUGCAAGUCAAGCGAACAGACGAGGAGCUUGCUCCUCUGACGUUAGCGGCGGACGGGUGAGUAACACGUGGAUAACCUACCUAUAAGACUGGGAUAACUUCGGGAAACCGGAGCUAAUACCGGAUAACAUGUUGAACCGCAUGGUUCAACAGUGAAAGACGGUCUUGCUGUCACUUAUAGAUGGAUCCGCGCCGCAUUAGCUAGUUGGUAAGGUAACGGCUUACCAAGGCAACGAUGCGUAGCCGACCUGAGAGGGUGAUCGGCCACACUGGAACUGAGACACGGUCCAGACUCCUACGGGAGGCAGCAGUAGGGAAUCUUCCGCAAUGGGCGAAAGCCUGACGGAGCAACGCCGCGUGAGUGAAGAAGGUCUUCGGAUCGUAAAACUCUGUUAUUAGGGAAGAACAAAUGUGUAAGUAACUAUGCACGUCUUGACGGUACCUAAUCAGAAAGCCACGGCUAACUACGUG